UCUUGGAGAGACUUUUCUCUUUUGGUGGCGUCAGAGCAGAGGAGGAUGAAGCGAACCCUUAUUGGUGAAGGAUUGCAGCGGAUGGGUGUUGAAACGGUCGCACUCUCCGGAGCCGUCUCGACGGGAGGGAGGAUACGCACAGCUGGGCCCAAGCAGUCAGCCGGUGAGACUAUCGCUUGACUCGCCUUCUACGCGGUUCAGGGAUGGAACGACGACACCUCCAGAGGUUCGGAUCCUCUAUGUUCAUGCGAGCGUGCGGCUCGUCAUGUCUUUCCCCUUCCUUCCGCCGUCCAUGCCAACCAGGACGCAAUUGUUCUGGGAGCGUGUUAGUAGCGUGCACGUUUUGCCCAUCACGGUAUUUAAUUGACAUCCCGAAAGGAGGAGGAAAUGCUGGGCUAAUCAAAGAUGUGCACAGCGCAGAUCAGGAUGCGCUGGCCAAUAUCAAUGGCAGCUGCGAAUGGUGAUUAAGUUUGCAUGUACGCAAAUGGCGUUUAAAGCCUUCAUUUUGUCAUGAAGCACUGACAUAACUAGAGCUACUCCAC